rnacentral:rRNA from 1 species
UGGGCAACCUGCCCCUCUCCCUGGGAUAACCCCGGGAAACCGGAGCUAAUACCGGAUACUCCGGCUGGAUCGCAUGGUCCGGCCGGGAAAGGUCCGCCGGAGAGGGAUGGGCCCGCGGCCUAUCAGCUUGUUGGUGGGGUCAUGGCUCACCAAGGCGACGACGGGUAGCUGGUCUGAGAGGAUGAUCAGCCACACUGGGACUGAGACACGGCCCAGACUCCUACGGGAGGCA